UUGUCCUGGCUCUGUUGCUGCUGCUGGCAAUGCAGGUGUGAGGAGCGCGGCGGUGGUGGCGGCUGCUCCGGGAAGAAGCCGCGCUGGAACUGCAAUGGGGUUUCCAUGUCAGAGCUGUUAAAGCUGCAGGGAGACCAGGCGGUGGUGCACCCUGCGCAAUGCGUUAUGGUCGGGAGCGGGGACUCCUGCUGCUGGUGCGAGGAAGGGCCCAUGCCGGCUCCGGUAGAAUCCAGGCGGCGAGUCCGAUUGGUUGGGCGCACCAAAACAAUGGGCAUGACAUCACCUGCAGGGACCGAGACUGAGUUUGCGGAGCGCGCGGCUUAGGGGAGCAUGUGUGUGUGAGAGGGGUUGGGAGGGCAACCUGCAGAAUGACAACCCCUGGGGGCUCAGGUCGGCUCCGGCCGGGGUCAGGGUACUCGAGGGCAGGGAUUCCACCUGCGGAUCGCGCGCAUCCCGUACCACGGUUGGGAAGACUGAGCCCCCCCACCCCAUGCACAGCGGCGGACUGCAGAGUGGGAGAGAGAAAGCCGAAGCUCUCGCUCUACGGCCGCGGGCCCUUGACUGGUGCAGAACAUGCUGGCCGGAAUGACCUGCCUGAGACACUGCAGCAUGUCUGGCCACCCCUGUCAUGGGGCAGGCGCCAAGGCAGUGAGAAACCUGAGCUCCUCUCCCGCCCCCUAGCCUCGUAGGGCUGCAAGGCAGCACCUGCUCGCCCCACUCCCUCUCCCCCAUCGUCCUGAGAGUGGGCUGCAGGCUGCUAGCCAAGUAACUGCGGGGGCACUGGCUUUGGGGAGAAGGAAAGAAAAAGUUUGGCGACUGCCUAUGCGAAUGUAUCAGCAUUGGGAGAAAGCCACCGCCGGAUGCCCGGCUUGGCCUCGGAGGGAUCACAUCUGACCCAGAGCAGGGAUCCGUCCCUGUCACCUAGCUCCCAGAGUCCCAGAAUUGGGAUUGGCGGCGCUGUCGCUACUACUGGAGAGCGCUACGGCGCAGAUAGGGUUAACCUCGCGACGCCCGGGUAGGGGGAGGAGGGGGCGGGGCCGGAGGAGGGGAUCCCCGGCGUCCGGGGAGGAGCCCGCUCGGGCUUCCCGGGUCCCCCUGGCGGGGGCGGAGGGCUUUCCCCGGGAGCGCCCGCUCACAUUUGCACGUUCUCCGGAACAUGAGGGGCUGGCGCCCCUGGCCGCCAGGUCCGGGGCUCUGACGCUCAGGCGGUCCAGCAGCCUGAGUGGACCUGCAGUACAGACACAAAGCAAAGGCGGGUCACUAUUGCGCAGACGCCAAGCAUCCUUGUCAAGACCAGACUGCAGUGGCUGGGCGAGGGGCCUGGUGCAGGUUGACUGAUGCCGGUAGUCAUCUGACAGCCAAUUAAUACCGUGGCGAUGACUCGACUGAAUAAUCGCUGCCCUUGGACAGGGUUUUAAAACUUAGCUGUAAUGAUUUAAUCGCUCUUUAAUAAACCACUAAAAAUUACACUUA